CCUCUUGAAGAUGAAGAGAUCAUCUCCUACAUGCUGCAAGGACUCGGUUCAGAGUUCAAUCCUCUGGUGAUAAGCAUCACUACUCAUAACAAUCCCGUCACCAUUAGCGACGUCUACACACAUAUGCUCAGCUGAGC